UUGCAGAAUUCAGUGAAUCAUYGAAUCUUUCGAACGCACAUUGCGCCCCUUGGUAUCCCGAGGGGCAUGCCUGUUCGAGCGUCAUU
rnacentral:rRNA from 1 species